rnacentral:lncRNA from 1 species
AAUAUCUUUUGUAUAUAAUCUUUUUCUCUUUCCAAUAAAUGUUCUUAUCUUUCACUAUUUUUUCUUUUAUCACAUCGAUGCUUGAACAUAUUUGAUCUACAAAGAAAAGCAUGUUAUUUACAUGAUAUCAAAGCUAUAAGCUUUAAGAUUGGUGGUCCAUAUAUUUGUAGCUUAGCAUGAUUGAAAAGUUUUUAGUAAUUUACUAUAUGGUUGUAUGUGUAUGUAGAUUAUUAUUGGCGUGAUUCAAUAGGUGAAUCAUUAUGACUGAUGCUAGUACCAUCUCUUUCAUAGAGAUCCAAAAAUUGAACACUAAUUAUAU